UCCCAGGGCUUCCGCAUACCCCCAGACAGGUGCUCAAAUAAGGAAUUAUGUUAAGUAAAUUAGCACUAGUAUCGCAUCCUUAAUGGCUUUGUCUUGGCUGCAGAAAAGAAAAAGUUAUUGGGCUGUUUGGAUGUUUGUCACUCUUAAGCAGCAGGUUGACUUGCACAAUUCCUGUAGAUUUACAUUAGAAAAAGAGGAAGAUGAGCGCUGAGGCCUUUGUUUUGUUGUUCGCCUUGUCUUCCUUUCUCAUCAGAGAGCACCGUGCCUUUCCUCCGCGCAGGUUUCUUCUUUGGUGGUGCUAGAGAGAGUUGAUGAGCAGGAAGAAAGUGGCAGGAAUUGCUGGGUCUGACCUUCACUUCUGCUAAGCUUGGAGCUGCACUGAAGCUGUUUUAAACAAGAAUAAUGUCAACCACUUGCAGAAGUGUCUGGUAAUUCUUGUUGGCUGUAUCAGGACAGAUCUCACCAUCUCACCAUGACUCACCACAGCAAAACUGGCUGGGCCAAAGUCAGGUAUUUCUUCAGAGCCUAGCUAGCUGGGGAGAAGUAGUUUGUUUGCAAGUGAAGUUUUCCACUCUGGCUUCCUUAUGCAAUUAUGAUUCACCAACUUACUGCAUCAUGUGUGGGAAUGUGAAAGAGGGAUUAGAUGUUCAGUUUUGCCUCUGUGCUGUGUUCAGAUACUGUGCUCUGAUUUUUAACACUGAUUACGUGGUAUAAAUCAUUUGAUGCCUGUUUGUUUCAGAUCAUCAAAGAAAUGAAUAAGACCUCUUAAUGCAGCCUAGAUUUUUUUUGUGUAGGUAUUUAGAGUCAUUGCACUGCCUGCCUCAUCUGGUUUAUAGGGAGUCUCUUCAUAGGAGGUAUUAAUUAUAGGUGAAGCUCUGAAUGCUGCUAUAGUUAAGCUUGCUUGACACUUUUCAUCGCAAGGUCCUGUUGCCUAUACACUUGUCAGCUAUGUGUUAUUUGGACUGAUAAUGUACAUACUGGGAGAAUGCAUCUCACUGAAUUUUUUGUAUCUAAAGUUUCAGAGAAAAAAAAACAGUUUUUGUUUGCUUUCUUUUUUUAACCUGAAAACAAGUUUAGGGAGAAAUGUGUAGCUUUUUCCAUUGUCUUAAAAAUAAACAUGUCUUUCCAUUUUGUUGCAAAGCUCCAACAAUUUAGAGAAGUAACAUAAUUUGUAGGUAGAAACAAUAAUUUGGAGGUAGAAAUAGAACAGAUGUGGUGGAAUGUAAAUUACCAAUGAUUAUUUAAGUGAAGCUACUUAAUAACUACUAUUUUCCAGGUUAUUGUUAUGUAAUCUCCUUAUGCCUUUGAUCUUCACCUGUGAUAAUGUGGGGAAACUCAUCCAUUCACAAAAUCACAUGCAUUUCAUGAGGAUUAAUUUCAUGUUUGCAAAUCACUCAGGUAGUUCAAGGAUGGCAUGACAGAAAAGUCAUCAGACAUUCAUAAUUCAGUCUUUGCAGCAAAUCUUGAACAGGUUGGUAAAUAAGAUCUGGUGCCUCAGAGAGGUCAGCUAGAAUUAAACAAAAUAUUGAACAUUUGUGUGUAUAAUAAUUAGUGUCUGUUCUGUUCACUCAAUCAGGAAGUGGCUUCAAGAAAAAAUACUCGUGUCAUUCACAUUCCUGCAUGCAAUGUGCAUGCCAAGGGGACUGAAAUACAAUUGUAUGUGAAAUCUUGGAAGGUUGUCAGUUUUGAGUGAUUGACUUUGUAACUGCAAUGUUCUUUUAAUAUGAUUUUUGACAUAUAUGUAAGUCAUUCUGAAAAGUAUUACCUCCUAUUUAUUUAAAUGGAAACCACAACAGAUACAAAGAGCACAAUAACACUAUUUGACAGAGCAAAUUCUCUACUACAAAACACAGUUUCCGACAGAGUCACCACUGUUAGCUAUGCAUUCCUGCCAGCAAUGAACAAGAGCUUGUAUGCCACACUCGGAAAAAUCUGCACCAGUGGAGGUGGACCAUUGUUUCAGAGCUGCUACGAUAGCAUCUUUGCUGGGAAAAUGUUGCCCACGCCAUUCAUCUUUCAUUGGCCUGAACAGAUGGAAGUCAAGGAGGCACCAAAUCCAGGCUUAUACGGUAGAUGUGGUAGGACAGUCUAGCCAAGGCAAUGUGCUCCAUGGUCUUCAAAUGGGUAUGGAGCCUGGUGUUAUCAUGUUGCAAGAGAAAGGUUGUC